CCUAGUCUCUUUCUUUGCUUCUCAGCUUCUCUCUCUUUCUCUUUUUUUUUUUUCGUCUACACAACCAAGCAAAGCAUCACUCAACAACCCUUUUAUUCAAACUUCACUAUUUAUUCUUCUAUGUCGUCUAAAAUUAUGAAAAACUCGAAGAACAAUUUUUUCAGGAUCUGGGUUUUCACUUCCUCGCCUUUUUUCUUCAUGGAAAGCUGAUGGCACAACCGAAGUAUUGAUGAAGAAAAAAACUUAGAGGUGAAUUGGUUGAACUCUGAGGAAUAGUUUGAAUGAUCAAGUUGAAAAUGGCUACAAAUAUGACGACUGAUCAAGGUCCUGAUAGAAAUGGUACUGUGUGGACUAUAGAUCAGAAGCUUGAUCAACCCAUGGACGAAGAGGCUAGAAAGCUUAAAAACAUGUACACAGAAAAGAAGCUUUCAGCAGUAAUGCUUUUGCAACUUGCAUUCCAG